GUCUGCUAUCUGUAUAUUUAUGUUAGCUUUCUUGCUUUUGUUGAUUUUUUUUCUCCAUAAAUACAGCUUAGAUUGACAACUAAUACAAAUAAAUUUUGGAAAAUCACUUGGAUCAUUUUGAAUAUCAAUGUUUAGUGAGAGUUUUAUGUCUCUAGCAUAUUUUGAUUUUUCGUAUGGUAGGUGGUGAGCAGUUCUCUUUUAUGUAGUUCCACAUAAACGACAGUUAUAGUCUGGGUCCAUUAUUUACCAUAUCUGUUGACAAAAAAAGACUAUAUUGGAUUUGUUUUAAAAGGGUUGAAGGGUAGAAAAAGCACAUCAUAAGUUGUGAUUGAAAGUUGUUUGUCUUACGUCCAGUGGCAUGUAUUUCAUUCAUAUUCGGGACUGUACAUAUUGAAAAUUGAGCCGAUUUAAUCAAGAUUUAAAAAA
rnacentral:lncRNA from 1 species